CUCGGAGUAACAGCCAUUCAGAUCAUAGCAGGCGAGGAAGAGGAAGACCUAAAAGUGCAUCCGCCAAAAAGCACGAGGAAGAAAGAGGAAGCUACUGCAAGAUACAUGCCACCAAAAUGAAGACGUGAACCAGGAAAGUAUCCUGGGAUGUGGACACAGGGUCCAACUUGAGAGAGGGUUGAGAAUCUGCAGCAUGAUGUUGGAGAGAGAUCUCAAGAUGAUAAUGUGCCAUGAGGAGGCUCAGAAAGCGGCCAUUUCAGAUUGGAGCAGAGCAGAAGACCUGCAGAGAUUGAUUCAGGAAGAAAAAUUGAUAUAAGACCUAAUUAUGUGCAAACAUUCUGAAAAUUUUAUACAACUUGGAGAGAGUUUGGUUCAAUUAGUAAUGAAAAUUAAGCAGAUGUAAAAAAGAGAAUCUUUUCAGGGAAGAUAGUAAAAACAGGAAAAGGAAAUUGACAUCUAUGCUAACCUCUCUGAUGAAAAGGCUUUUGUGUUUUCAGUCGCCUUGGC